CCUACGGGAGGCAGCAGUGGGGAAUUUUGGACAAUGGGCGCAAGCCUGAUCCAGCAAUGCCGCGUGAGUGAAGAAGGCCUUCGGGUUGUAAAGCUCUUUUGUCAGGGAAGAAACGGUGGAGGUUAAUACCUUCUGCUAAUGACGGUACCUGAAGAAUAAGCACCGGCUAACUACGUGCCAGCAGCCGCGGUAAUACGUAGGGUGCAAGCGUUAAUCGGAAUUACUGGGCGUAAAGCGUGCGCAGGCGGUUGUGCAAGACAGAUGUGAAAUCCCCGGGCUCAACCUGGGAAUUGCAUUUGUGACUGUACGGCUAGAGUGUGUCAGAGGGGGGUAGAAUUCCACGUGUAGCAGUGAAAUGCGUAGAGAUGUGGAGGAAUACCGAUGGCGAAGGCAGCCCCCUGGGAUAACACUGACGCUCAUGCACGAAAGCGUGGGGAGCAAACAGGAUUAGAUACCCUGGUAGUCCACGCCCUAAACGAUGUCUACUAGUUGUCGGGUCUUUAUUGACUUGGUAACGCAGCUAACGCGUGAAGUAGACCGCCUGGGGGAGGACGGUCGCGAGAGUAAACGUUAAAGUAAGUAGUAGACGNGAGAGAGCGACGACGGACGACGACGGAGGGAGGAG
rnacentral:rRNA from 1 species